AUGUUCCCUGCCUCCAGACCCAUUUUCCUCCCUCACCCCUAUAUGGUUUAUUGUAUAAUGAGUUUAUACAUUUCAGAAUCUUACCUUGUCUUUCUACUCUGCAACUUCGUGUUUGGAGACAGGAUCUUGCUUCUCGCUCUGUUGCGCAGGCUGAAGUGCAGUGGUGUGAUCACGGCUCACUGCAGGCUCAACCUGCCUGGCUCAAGUGAUCCUCCCACUACCCUCCGAAGCAGCUGGGACUACAGUCUUAAAAAAGCUCUCAAAUGGAUGCAGUCCCAUCAGAGACAGAAGAAUUCGCUACAUAUGGUAUGUAGGAAUUACAAUUCUUUUUGUUUCUUUGGGCACAUCCUGGUGAAAGAAUGGCUUCUUUCUCUUAUUCAUGGUUUCGAUUUUGCUUUUGCCCCCUUUAAAAAAUUAUUAAAGCAUACAUGUAUUUGUUUGCAUAUAUAAAUAACCAUAGUAGGAGGUAUUUACUAUCCUUUUUCUGCUACUCAUGCUUGAUGAAAUUGGAAAGUAUUGGCAAUCGGAAAAUCUUGGCAGCGAGUGAUUGCUUGGUUCUUAAAGUUCACUCAACUGUUCUCUGCAUUAUCUACUAGACAGAACCAUAGAAUCCAGGAGCUGUCUGGUUUCCUGGUCCAACAACCUGCCUAAUACUCUUGUUCUUAGUGUGCAUACAGAUAACGUCGGGGCACUGGUACUGGGAGGAACUCCAGACGUGCAAGGUAGCCUAUUCCACCUUUGGACAACUUAGUUAGAUAUUCUUCAUUAGAUUCUGCUGAAGCCUUCUGAAGCUUCCAUUUAUUGAUCACAAUUAUUUUUGUUCUGUUUUCGUUUUUGUUUUUUGGAGAUAGGGUCUUGCUUUGUCACCCAGGCUGGAGUGCAGUGGUGCAAUCAUAGGUCCCUGUAGCCUUGAACUUCUGGGCUCAAGGCUCAAGGGGACAACCCACCUCAGCUUCCCAAGUAGCUAGAAUUGAUCACAAUUCUAAUGGCAACAUGUGGAAACCUUCUAUCCCAUUUCCCACAUAACAAUCCUUCAUAUAUCUGAAGGCAGCUUCUCUGCCCCUCUGAGUCUUUGCUUUGCCAGAUUUAACAUUCUCACUUUCUUCAUUUGUAUUAUGAAUCCCCUGACCAGUCUGGUCAAUUGGGAAUUCUAAUCUUACCUCUACUACACAGUUGCUAUGAGUUGAGUUCUGUUGCUUUGUUAUUUUCCUCCUUUUUUUUUUUUGAGAUGGAGUCUCACUCUGUUGCCCAGCUGGAGUGCAGUGGCGCUAUCUCGGCUCACUGCAAGCUGCGCCUCCUGGGUUCAUGCCAUUCUCCUGCCUCAGCCUCCUGAGUAGCUGGGACUACAAGUGUGUGCCACCACGCCUGGCUAAUUUUUGUAUUUUUAGUAGAGACGGGGUUUCACCAUGUUGGUCAGGCUGAUCCCAAACUCCUGACCUCAAGUGAUUCACCUACCUGGGCCUUCCAAAGUGCUGGGAUUACAGGUGUGAGUCACCAUGCCCAACCGCUUUGUUGUUUUCACAUUUAUAUCAUCAGGGCAUUUUGAAAAAACUAUUCUGUGUCACCUUUUAGAAAUGACUAUUUUUCUAUUCAAUAAGAAGCUCUUCAAAAUCUAGUUUGCAUUAUAAAAUAAUUCAAAAUGCAAAAAUGUAUGCAUAUACCCCUAUUGUCAAAUAAAAAACAAACCCAGACUUAGUAAGGAGAGCCAUUAUUUGAAAGGAUUAUUGUAAAGUGGUGAAAGGGACUAUUGCAAUAAGGGGAGGGGGACUCUUGCAAUAGGGAGAAUGUUUUGACCAUAAUAUAUGCAAGCAUCUCAAGAGGUAGGCAAAAAAGGGAUUUUUUUUAAUAGAGAGGAGUAGUAAGACCAGCAACAACCAGGUAUGGGGAAGCAGGAUAAAAGCACAGCAAAAUCAGAUAGUAGGUUAGAGAAUGUUUUACCUUGGGGCCAGCCUAUUCUCAGGAGGGUCUGUUAAGGAGGAGUUGUAGGCUGACCAAAAUUCAGGGACCUGGGAAGAGGAGAGAAGCUACAGCAAAGUUUCUGGUUAGCAAGCAUUUUGUUCCAGCUGAUCAGUGGGGCAAGCAGUUCAGCUAAUCAUUUAUGAGGCAAAGAAUGGGAAUUUAGAAUGUCUGCAUCCGGCCUUGUUGCAAGGUAAGCAAGGGGCACAUCUAUGAGUCUUCUCUAAUUUAUAUGGGGACUCUUGAUUUUUUUCAGUAAGCCAGUUUCUGGAACACAAAAGGGUUGGUAUUGGGGACUUCUUUAAACAAUGUAGGCUGGGUGUGGUGGCUCACACCUGUAAUCGCAGCACUUUGGGAGGCCGAGGCGUGAGGAUCACGAGGUCAAGAGAUCAAGACCAUCCUGGCCAACAUGGUGAAACCCUGUUUCUGUUAAAUAUACAAAAAUUAGCUGGGUGUGGUGGCAUGUGCCUGUAAUCCCAGCUACUCAGGAGGCUGAGGCAGGAGAAUCGCUUGAACCCGGGAGGCGGAGGUUGCAGUGAGCCAAAAUUGAGCCAUUGCAUACAGCCUGGUGACAGAAUGAGACUCCAUCUCAAAAACAAAAAACAAAAAACAAACAAAGAAAAAAUUAAUGCUGUUUUCCAGGAUAACAGGGCUCAGGUAAAUUCAACAUUGUCUCUAUACAUCACCUGAUUUAAGAAAUGUCAAGAUUUGCUUUGGCCAUUUUUACUUCAAAAACAUUUUUAAAAGAAAUAUACGCUAUAGACACCAUGAAACCCCUCAACCUAUUUUAUUUCCUUAUCUUUCUCUGCAAAGUUAACCACUUUUAAUUCAUUGAUGUGAAUCUCCUAAUGAAAACUGGAUCAUUUAAGAAUUCAAUUUGAUU
ensembl:lncRNA